UAAAAAAAUUUUAUUUUUAGUAACUAUUUUUAUUUUCUUAUAUUAAUCAAAAAUUAACUUGGUCAAUGUCGAAUUGAUUCUUAGUUACUAGUGUAUCUGAAUAAGAAAUAUAGAAUACAUCCAUAACCUUAAAAAAAAGAACGCUUGCUAUUUAGGUUAAAAUGUUACCGAAAUAUAGAAAAAAAAGUUACAUCUUGGAUAAGCUACAUCAUGGAUUUGUAAAAAUUUGUAUGGGUGUUACAGUAAUUGGAGGAGUAGCUUUAGGAUAUAAAGUAUAUGUUUAUUUUCAAUAUAUAAAACCGGCAUUACAGGAAAUAGAAAUGAAAAAUAAUGAAGAUUUAUUAGAAGAAGGAAGAUAUAAACCGAUUGUUGGUUAAAAUAAAAGAAUUUAAUAAUAAGUCUAAAAUAUGUAGAUAAGUUGUAAUAAAACAAUAAUUAAAAUAAAAAAUUUAUAAUUAUUA